rnacentral:rRNA from 1 species
UAGGGAAUCUUCGGCAAUGGGGGCAACCCUGACCGAGCAACGCCGCGUGAGUGAAGAAGGUUUUCGGAUCGUAAAGCUCUGUUGUAAGAGAAGAACGUGUGUGAGAGUGGAAAGUUCACAGUGACGGUAACUUACCAGAAAGGGACGGCUAACUACGUGCCAGCAGCCGCGGUAAUACGUAGGUCCCGAGCGUUGUCCGGAUUUAUUGGGCGUAAAGCGAGCGCAGGCGGUUUAAUAAGUCUGAAGUUAAAGGCAGUGGCUUAACCAUUGUUCGCUUUGGAAACUGUUAAACUUGAGUGCAGAAGGGGAGAGUGGAAUUCCAUGUGUAGCGGUGAAAUGCGUAGAUAUAUGGAGGAACACCGGUGGCGAAAGCGGCUCUCUGGUCUGUAACUGACGCUGAGGCUCGAAAGCGUGGGGAGCAAACAGG